rnacentral:rRNA from 1 species
UACGUAGGGGGCAAGCGUUGUCCGGAUUUAUUGGGCGUAAAGCGCUCGCAGGUGGUUCGAUGCGUCGUGCGUGAAAGACCCCGGCUCAACUGGGGGGUGUCGUGCGAUACGGUCGGACUGGGAGCCAGUAGGGGGAUGCGGAAUUCCGGGUGUAGUGGUGGAAUGCGUAGAGAUCCGGAGGAACACCAGCGGCGAAGGCGGCAUCCUGGACUGGUCCUGACACUCAUGAGCGAAAGCGUGGGGAGCGAGUCCGG